GACGUAGGGCGCGAGCGUUGUCCGGAUUUAUUGGGCGUAAAGAGCUCGUAGGCGGCUUGUUGCGUCGGCUGUGAAAACCCGCAGCUCAACUGUGGGGCUUGCAGCCGGAUACGGGCAGGCUAGAAUUCGGUAGGGGAGACUGGAAUUCCUGGUGUAGCGGUGGAAUGACGCAGAUAUCAGGAGGAACACCGAUGGCGAAGGCAGGUCACUGGGCCGCAACUGACGCUGGAGGAGCGAAAGCAUGGGAGCGAACAGG
rnacentral:rRNA from 1 species